UUAUGGCUCAGGACGAACGCUGGCGGCGUGCUUAACACAUGCAAGUCGAGCGAUGAAGCUUCUUCGGAAGUGGAUUAGCGGCGGACGGGUGAGUAACACGUGGGUAACCUGCCUCAUAGAGGGGAAUAGCCUUCCGAAAGGAAGAUUAAUACCGCAUAAGAUUGUAAUAUCGCAUGAUAUAGCAAUUAAAGGAGUAAUCCGCUAUGAGAUGGACCCGCGUCGCAUUAGCUAGUUGGUGAGGUAACGGCUCACCAAGGCGACGAUGCGUAGCCGACCUGAGAGGGUGAUCGGCCACAUUGGGACUGAGACACGGCCCAGACUCCUACGGGAGGCAGCAGUGGGGAAUAUUGCACAAUGGGGGAAACCCUGAUGCAAGCAACGCCGCGUGAGUGAUGACGGCCUUCGGGUUGUAAAGCUCUGUCUUCAGGGACGAUAAUGACGGUACCUGAGGAGGAAGCCACGGCUAACUACGUGCCAGCCGCAGC
rnacentral:rRNA from 1 species